rnacentral:rRNA from 1 species
AGAGUUUGAUCCUGGCUCAGGAUGAACGCUAGCGGCAGGCUUAACACAUGCAAGUCGAGGGGCAGCACGAGGUAGCAAUACUUUGGUGGCGACCGGCGCACGGGUGCGUAACGCGUAUGUAACCUACCUUUAACAGGGGCAUAACACUGAGAAAUUGGUACUAAUUCCCCAUAACAUUCGAGAAGACAUCUUCUUGGGUUAAAAACUCCGGUGGUUAAAGAUGGGCAUGCGUUGUAUUAGCUAGUUGGUGAGGUAACGGCUCACCAAGGCAACGAUACAUAGGGGGACUGAGAGGUUAACCCCCCACAUUGGUACUGAGACACGGACCAAACUCCUACGGGAGGCAGCAGUGAGGAAUAUUGGUCAAUGGACGCAAGUCUGAACCAGCCAUGCCGCGUGCAGGAAGACGGCUCUAUGAGUUGUAAACUGCUUUUGUACUAGGGUAAACGCUUCUACGUGUAGGAGCCUGAAAGUAUAGUACGAAUAAGGAUCGGCUAACUCCGUGCCAGCAGCCGCGGUAAUACGGAGGAUCCAAGCGUUAUCCGGAUUUAUUGGGUUUAAAGGGUGCGUAGGCGGUUUGAUAAGUUAGAGGUGAAAUACCGGGGCUCAACUCCGGAACUGCCUCUAAUACUGUUGAACUAGAGAGUAGUUGCGGUAGGCGGAAUGUAUGGUGUAGCGGUGAAGUGCUUAGAGAUCAUACAGAACACCGAUUGCGAAGGCAGCUUACCAAACUAUAUCUGACGUUGAGGCACGAAAGCGUGGGGAGCAAACAGGAUUAGAUACCCUGGUAGUCCACGCAGUA